rnacentral:lncRNA from 1 species
GCAUUUUCUUGAUUUUCUGGGUUAUCCAUGGCAGUUGUUGGACUUUUGAUGGUAUGUUUCUGUCUAGGCUGGCGAAUAGAUGUUUUUUAAAUGUUAGCCCUGUUUCGUUGACAUUUUGGUUGAUUUGGAUGUUAUUCUUUAUUUGUGGUGAUAGUGAGUCUAAUCAUAUUCCCUUCUUCCCAGUUUGCUCUUUCCCAGGUAUACACUUUCCGAGAUAUAGAUUUCGAAUAGUAAGGUUUGAUGUCUGUAUCUGUAAUGAUGGAAAGAUACCUGAUAUGUUUGUUGAUGUUUUCAUUUAGUGACGAGUUUA